GAAAAGAAGAGGGGAAAGUUCUGAGUCAGCCAUUUAAAAUAUCGGCAAUAGUUCUCACCACCUCACAAAAGCAGCCUGUGUACAACUCACGGCCAGUCCAAGGGGACCGAGGCACGGGCAGGAACAGGAUUUAAAGGUUACACAGAAAUCUGGAGGAAAAGAGGCACUGCAAUCACAUGGGUCAGCAAUCCAGCGUGACUUUCAUUUCUCUAGCAGAUACAAAGAAACACAAGAAACAGAUACACAGGAGAAGGCGGCCGUGUGACGACUGAGACGGAGACUGGCAUGAGCCACCUACAAGCCAGGAGCUCCAAGGACGGAUGCAACCAGCUGCAGCCAGAGGGGGCAGAGAAGAGUUCUAUCCAGAACCUUCAGAGGGAGCGUGUCCCUGCUGACACUAACUUCAGCCUUCCAGACUCCAGAAUCCCAAGACUACACAAUUCUGUUGUUUGAAGCCACCCAGUUUGUGGUGAUUUGUCACGGCAGCCCCAGGAAACCCAUACACUGUUGAAACACGUCUUUCAGGGAUGUGAUUUAUCCCUAUUCCCAUAUUUGGACAAAGAAAUUAAAUCCUAUGGUAUGACCGA
ensembl:lncRNA